GAUGAACGCUGGCGGCGUGCUUAACACAUGCAAGUCGAACGAAGCACUUAAGAUUGAUUCUUCGGAUGACGUCUUUUGUGACUUAGUGGCGGACGGGUGAGUAACGCGUGGGUAACCUGCCUCACACAGGGGGAUAACAGUUAGAAAUGACUGCUAAUACCGCAUAACCCGAUAGGAUCGCAUGAUCCAGACGGAAAAGAUUUAUCGGUGUGAGAUGGACCCGCGUCUGGUUAGCUAGUUGGUGAGGUAACGGCCCACCAAGGCGACGAUCAGUAGCCGGCCUGAGAGGGUGAACGGCCACAUUGGGACUGAGACACGGCCCAAACUCCUACGGGAGGCAGCAGUGGGGAAUAUUGCACAAUGGGGGAAACCCUGAUGCAGCGACGCCGCGUGAGUGAAGAAGUAUUUCGGUAUGUAAAGCUCUAUCAGCAGGGAAGAAAAUGACGGUACCUGACGAAGAAGCCCCGGCUAACUACGUG
rnacentral:rRNA from 1 species